AUACCUUUCUCGGCCUUUUGGCUAAGAUCAAGUGUAGUAUCUGUUCUUAUCAGUUUAAUAUCUGAUACGUGGACCAAUGGUUCACACGAUAUUAAAUUAAUUUUUUAAGGGGAAGGGUUCAUUACAAUAGCUUGCUAUUGGAGCUCUUGCGUGUCGCCUAAGCGUUGCACUAUUUCUUGGGCCUGGCACACCCCAC